UCACAGCCAAGGCUCAAAUCUAUGUGGCAAUUAAUUUGAAUUCUGGCUUUAUGAUUUUUCCGCAUGAAUCAUAUUAUUGUAUUGUUCAUAACCUAACAGGUAGGAGAACGGAAAAAAGACAAAAAAAAAAAAACAGAAGAAAAAAGUAAAAGAAAAAAAUUUAUAAAUAAAUAAAUUAGAAACGUUGACCUUUAUUUUCACCAGUUACCGGUUACUUAAGCUCAAUAAAAGUAGUUAGGUUGUAAUGGUGGGAUUAUUAAAAAAGAUGUCAUAGGUGGGCUUAGGCUUAUUCUUGUGUGGACCUGGUCCACGUUAAUAUUAUUGUGGACCCAAAAAACACAUGUGCCAAAAUUGUGAUUUAGAGGAAAGUCCCUCCUCACUCUGUACUCUCAUCUUCUCUCGACACUCUCGUCAAUCUCUCUCUCCCCUCACCUUUUCACGCUUUCGUUCUCUCUCCUUAUUGUGAAUGAAAAAACUUGAAGCAAAUUCAACAAACAAAUGGACGAUCAAUUGAUGAAUCUAGUGAAACCCGACAUUGAAGGUAAUUGUAAAAUCUUCAGAAAAUUGUCUUCGACUCAGGGUCCUAAACCCUAAUCCUCGAUUCUUCGAUCUCUAUGUCUGCUUCUUUCCUCCUUUGAUUUACAAAAAGUGGAGUUUUCUGAGCAGCACCACGUUGAUCCAAGACAUCAUUGCCACCUUCGUCCUCGUCAAUCCCCUUUUUUCUAAUCAGAUAUCAAGCACAACUUUAGAAAAACUUGAUGUAUAUGGCUGUAAUUGCUGAUGCCCAACCUCAGGUGGCAACAGUACCUUCCCAAGUAUGCUUGCUUACCUCAUCACUUUACUGGCCAUAUGACAAUGUUGUAAACAUGAACUUUAUAGCUUGUUUCAAUGUUGGUUUUUGUAUAUUUUAUGAUGCACUAUAUCACUAAUAAAGGUGACCAUAAGGAGGUAAUGUGAACUAUUAUUGAUGGUAGUCUCUAUAGCUCUUUUUGGUGUUUAUUUUUUCUGGUUUAUCUGUAAUGUGUGAUGUACCUGAUACCUAUUAAAUUUCGUGCUAAACUAGCAAAGCCAAUAUGGGGUUGGAGAGGAGCCAAUCUGAA